AGAAUCAACGCUGGCGGCGUGCCUCAGACAUGCAAGUCGUACGAUUAAAGCUCUCUUCGGAGAGUGUAUAGAGUGGCGCACGGGUGAGUAACACGUAAGUAAUCUACCUUCGAGUGGGGAAUAACAGUCGGAAACGACUGCUAAUACCGCAUAAUGCAGCGGCACCUAAUGGUGACAGUUGUUAAAGCAUUUAUGUGCUUGAAGAGGAGCUUGCGGCAGAUUAGCUAGUUGGUAAGGUAAUGGCUUACCAAGGCAACGAUCUGUAGCCGACCUGGAGAGGGUGGUCGGUCACACUGACACUGAAUAACGGGUCAGACUCCGU
rnacentral:rRNA from 1 species